AUUGAACGCUGGCGGCAUGCCUUACACAUGCAAGUCGAACGGCAGCACGGGAGCAAUCCUGGUGGCGAGUGGCGAACGGGUGAGUAAUAUAUCGGAACGUGCCCAGUCGUGGGGGAUAACGCAGCGAAAGCUGUGCUAGUACCGCAUACGAUCUAUGGAUGAAAGCGGGGGACCGUAAGGCCUCGCGCGAUUGGAGCGGCCGAUAUCAGAUUAGCUAGUUGGUGGGGUAAAGGCCCACCAAGGCGACGAUCUGUAGCUGGUCUGAGAGGACGACCAGCCACACUGGAACUGAGACACGGUCCAGACUCCUACGGGAGGCAGCAGUGGGGAAUUUUGGACAAUGGGCGCAAGCCUGAUCCAGCAAUGCCGCGUGCAGGAUGAAGGCCUUCGGGUUGCAAACUGCUUUUGUACGGAGCGAAACGGUUCUCUCUAAUACAGGGGGCUAAUGACGGUACCGUAAGAAUAAGCACCGGCUAACUACGUGCCAGCCGCCGCUGUAAAAC
rnacentral:rRNA from 1 species